UGUAUAGCGGCUUUAAAGGCAAUGCUGGAGUGGCAGCAGGUGGAAGUUUUUUUGAAUCACCUGCAAUUGCCGAAGUUCCUCACAGCAGAAAACAACAAAUUUCUCAGGCUGAUGACAUGUCAUACCAAGGUGAGAAGGAAAUGCUAGAGAAUGAAAGCAGAUACAGAAAGAUGAAAAGUUUAAGAUCAUAGAAGAUAUGGGAACUAAGGAGAAUGAAAUCAUGGGUGAGACAGAAGAGACAGCAAAAAUGGAUGAAAGCUGUGAAAUUUCAGAUGCUACAGGAAUCAGUUUAGAGACGGAUAAGAUUGAGGAACCAUGCUUCAGGGUUGGAGAAGAGGAAACUUUAAGGGAGGACAGAAUAUCUGACAAAGUUGAAGAAAACCCACUAAUGCAAAAGAAAUUAGCGGCUUGCAGAAAGAUGAAGAAGACAGACCAAAGGAAAAUGAGGAUGUGGAACACAAACAAGCAAGCAUAGUUGAGGCCAUCUCAGGUUAGAAUGAAGAACCUUUGAUUCACAUCCCUGAUCUGACAGUCCACAAUUUCGACACUAAUGUUAAACCAAGCACAGAUAACUGACUAAAAAAUGAAAGUAAAGACAAUGCUUGGAGAACUGAAACUGCAACUAGUGAAGAAAACAAUGGAAAAAAAAACUUCUGAAGAAGUACAACAGAAGCAAGAAGAGAGAUGUUCCAGUUCCUUGGAUGAGGAGGAGGGUCCCAUUGUGGCCAAGCCAAUUGAAAAGAUAGAGAGUGAGAAAGAAGGCAUCGGACAUAAUGCAAUUGGAGAAGCUUCCCCAAUAUUGGCAAAAAUUUUAGACAUCCAGAAUGAUAGAAAAGCCAGCUCUGCCAUUAUAGAGAAUUAAGAGGAUAAACUUGACAUUCCAUUUGUCACAUUGGCAACAGACAGGCCGAGCAUGCAGGAAGAUGAUGGACUUAAAGAAGGAGACAAGCUAGAAGAGACCUCCAGGAUAUCAAUCAAAGAGGAAAGCCAAGAUACAGUCAACUUAAAUGAGAAUAAGAAGGACAUGACCCCAAUUAUUGAUAAAACCCAAGAGAAGCAUCAUGUAGAUAUUCCUCAUGUCACAAAGAUUGAGUGUGUUUGCAGAAAGUAGAGAGACUCAAAUAUCCAAUGUAGUCCCAGAAAAUCAGUGAGAGGAUGUCCACAAAAAGCCCACAAGAAGGCGGCCAGAUGUAAUUCCCUGAGAAAACAGAUCAAGCUGAUAGCAGUGAAGGUGAAAAAGUUAAGGAUGAGAUGAUUCCUGAACAAAAUCUUGACAAUUUUCUUGUAAAUCACAAGAAAGGUCAACAAAACAUAGAUGAAGAGCUGGCUGUAACAGAGGCAUCAGCAGGGGAGAGCAGAGACAACAGUGGCCAUACAGUGGUAGCAGCUGAAACAACGUCAAUGAUGCAGUAACUUCUCUAGAACACAGGAAAGAUGAACAAGGAAACAAAGAGAUAAAAGCGUCUCUGGGAAUGGCUUCUGAGAAGAUAGACACAAUUGCUUCAAGUGAAUGCUCUGAAAUAAUUACAUGUGCCAAAGAGGAUACAUCCAUCAAAAGUCAGGAAGAAAGCCAUGACAUAAAGGAGAAAGAAGAGAAACUAAUGGACAUUAAUGCUAUCAGGGAUGAUGAAAUUCCAAAACCGGAGAACCUCCAACCCAUAGAACUGAAUGAGAAGAUUGAAAUUGCAGAAGUUGAGAUCCCAAACAAAAGCGUCAAAGAGUUAAAUGCAACUCAUUAAUUGGAACAAGAAACAGGACUAUUAGAAGGUGAAGAUCUGGGUGGGUCUCUAACUUUGAACCUCAGGACCAAGCUAAGGAAGAAGAGAUGUCAGUAGACAUUGAUGCUAUCAGAGAUGAUGGAAUUCCAAAAGUAGAGGUUAAAACAAUGACAAUCACCUAUCAAACUCAGUGAAAAGAUUGAGAUCCCAAACAUGAGCGUUGAUGAGUUAAAUGCCACUCAUUCAUUGGAACAAGGAACAGGAGUAGUAGAAGGUGAAGAACUGGGGGGAGUCACUGACUUUGAACCUCGAGACCAAGUUAAGGAA